rnacentral:lncRNA from 1 species
AUGGAGGAGUUAGUUCCUGCACUGCUGGCUAUUUCAAUUAGGUUGUUCUUAUUUUCCCCUUAUUUAUUCUGGGGUUCACUGCAUAUGUACAAAAUGCUGUUGAUUUUUUUUUUUCCUCAACUUUCUCCUGAACGUGGUAUAGGGGUCCACCCUGUGAGGCAUCAGAACUAUUUGUCCACUUCCAAGGUGCACAGAAUGUUAACAUCCACAGAACAGUCCUUGCUGGUCUUUCCCAAGCACCAUACAACACUAUCUCCCUAUUUCACAGCGAAAAAGGGAUUGCAUUGAGCACUGGAACCUGCUGAACUUCCUCGGUUUGAGAGAGACACUGGAGAGAAGAGUUCAGGUUCCAUGUGUUUUAAAUAUAACUUUAAAGCAAUGCAGCUACUCUGUCAGAUCAGCACCAUUUUCUACCUUUCCCUCCAUUUAGAUGGGAAUAUAAAAGUAAACCCAGCAAUAUGUGAUCCAGUUGAUGUGCUUGCAGGUGGAACAUGGGGUUUUUGAAACUUGAGGACUGAGAAUUUCUCUUGCAUGGAAUAACUCAGUGUGGGUACAAAAGUUUGGAUCUGUGAUUACAGCUCUUCUGUCAGCUUGCUAAUGCAAGCAAGUACUUCGAACUCUUCUGAAGACUGCAGUAGAAGAGCUGUCAAGGUGUAGGCUGGAACUUAUCAUUUUAGGUCAUCUGUGUGUUGCUUGACUACAUGGACAAUGUAUCAGUGAUUUUUACAGAUUGAUAUCCAUGUGUCAGUCACAAAUAACUCUUAAUUUGCUGUUUGCGGUGAAACUGUUAAUAGAUACAUUUCCAGAUCAAAUUAAGAGCCUAAUUUUCCAUCUUGCAUUAACCGGGUUACUGUGUUCACAUGCCAGAAAGAUGUUGCUCUUUGAAAAAGCAUGUUAGUGUGUGUGGCAAUGACCCAUGCACUUUUUAAAUACCUAGAUCUUGUACAUUCUCACCUGAGUAUUGUUAACCAUGCUGUAGUCUGACAAAUGGAUCUUUUACUACUGCCCUGUUAUAUAGAAUAAUUGUAAUUAACUGCAGUUUGUUUUUCCACUACUUGAAGUUGUGUGAUCUGAAAAUUGGUGAACAAAAAGUAUUUGUGCAUCUUACUAUGGGUAUCUCUAAAUAAAAUGUAUUUGUAUAGUGUUUUGGCUGAUGAU